UACGGAGGAUGCGAGCGUUAUUCGGAAUGAUUGGGCGUAAAGGGUGCGUAGGCGGCCUGCUAAGUCUGGAGUGAAAGGUACCGGCUCAACCGGUAUAGGCUCUGGAAACUGGCGGGCUAGAGAGCAGGAGAGGGCGGUGGAACUCCAUGUGUAGCGAUAAAAUGCGUAGAUAUAUGGAAGAACACCAGUGGCGAAGGCGGCCGCCUGGCCUGUUACUGACGCUGAGGCACGAAAGCGUGGGGAGCAAAUAGG
rnacentral:rRNA from 1 species